rnacentral:rRNA from 1 species
GAAUCAGCUCUGUACUCCGAAUGCAUCUAUAUUAAGUUUGAUCAUUGGGCUCAGAGUGAACGCUGUGCUGGUAGAGCCUAACACAUGCCAAGGUCGUAACGGCAGCACAGGAGAGCUUGCUCUCUGGGUGGCGAGCUGGCGGACGGGUGAGGAAUACAUCGGGAAUCUACUCUGUCGAUGGUGGGGAAUAACGUAGGGGGAAGACUAUACUGCGUAAUACCGUCGAUAUCUGAGCCUACGGGGGUGAAAAGCAAGUGGGGACCACUUCGUGGGC